rnacentral:lncRNA from 1 species
CGUUGAUGACUCGGUCUUGGGAGGGAAGAGAGGCCUCUUUGGCCCCCACUUCCUCCUUCCCUCCUCUGCCUUUGCCUGGAUGUCAGGGGGGCAGACUGGCGUCUGCGCUGGGCUUGGCCUCAGGAUGCUGUCACGCUCUCUCUGCUCUAUUGGCGAGCUGGUGUCUCGGGAGGAGCCCUUAGGUUUUCCUGCGCUUCCGUUUGGUUGUUGCCGUUUCUGGGGCCAAGGAUGGGACCCAGCGGGGGAGUGUCACCACUCUGCUGCCAGAGAGAAAUCAGGUGCUGUGGGAGGAAGAGGAAUGUGGGCGAGCUGUGACACCGAUGAGAAGGGUCUCCUCUUCCCCCACAUUACACCUUCCCCUUUCGACACACACAAAAACACAGCUGUGUUGUCUGAGCCCUCUGGGGCCACAAGAACUGGGCUGCUCCCUCUUCCACGGGUGGCACAGCAUUUCUGAAGGCAGAGAUCCCUACCGCUGGCUCCUACGGCUUCUAUUUGCCCCUGCAGACCCACUCUCCAUCCUUCUCCACCCUGCUCACCUCUAUGGACCCUUAGAUGGGCUCCUUUGCCCUCUGGCUUCCCAUUGGGUUCAGCCAACAGGGACCCCCAGCAGGAGAGUGGAGGGAGGGAGGAGAGUGAGGCUGGGGUGUUUCUUCCCUGGCUCCCUUCUGCCGGCUGACCAAAGGUCUCAGUCUCAGUCGGCCAGCCCACGUCAGGACUCUCUCUCUGGGUGACUUUGCCAUCCCUGCCCUUGCCCCUGGAGCCCCGGGAUGGUAACACAGUUCCAGUCUCCCCGCAAAUCAGCCUGAGCGAACUGCACUGCCUCUGUGGGUCCCCCACGCUCUGCCCACACCUUGGCAAACUUCUUGAUGGAGCCGUCUGCACUCAUUUCCUCUGCUUCUUCAGCAUUUCUGUCCCUGCCCCUCCACAUGAGGCUUACCAAUGACCUCCCAGAAGGCGGCUCCAAAGGAUCCAUCUCAGAUUCGAUUCCCCAGACUGAGGGAUCACCAAAAGCAACCACGUGCCUCCUUUCCUGAGCCAACAUGAAGAUGACCUCCCAAACUGCCCCCUGGAGGGGCUUUGGGCCUUGGAAGCCAGGAAAGUGAGCUGAGAUGUGAUGUUGUCCUGACACACCUGCCUGGGUCAGUUAAAAUCAAUGGCCAGGGGCCGGCCCAGUGGCGGAGUGGUUAAGUUCAUGCGCUCUGCUGCACCGGCCCAGGGUUUCGCUGGUUCGGAUCCUGGGCACGGACACAGCACUGCUCAUCAGGCCACGGUGAGGCGGCGUCCCACAUGCCACAACUAGAAGGAACCACAACUAAAAUAUACAACUAUAACUGGGAGGAUCUGGGGAGAAAGAGCAGGAAAGAAAAAAAAGAUUGGCAACAGUUGUUAGCUCAGGUGCCAAUCUUUAAAAAAAAGAAAAAUCAAUGGCCAAUCAGCAGGCACCUCUGCCUGGAGCCCACCUGCAUCCCGUCAGCUCCUCUCUGUUCUGAAGACUUCUUUUCCUUCCCAUCAGAGAACGUCUCCCUCCAAAAUCUAACAGGCCAUUCACUCGAUAGAACCAGUCUCUUCUUCUCCACCGCAGACAACACGCUCCAGUUCUGGCCUCAUCAUCUGUUACCUGGCCUGUUAUUACAGACCCUUCACAGCUCCCCUUGGCUCCCAACGCUCCCUCCACUCCAUCCUCUGCUCAGAGCAGCCAGAGAGAUUGUCCUGAAGCACAAAUCGAAUCCCGGUAUCACCCGUCUGCUUGGAGCCAUCCCCUGCCAGUGCCAGGCCAAACGUUUUUCGCACGGCAGAAUGUGGUCCUAGGGAACUAUUCAUCCUUGUCUCUUUCCCUUCGGUCCAAAAACAUGCACAGAUUUCUCCCUCAUCCCCUAUCCUCUUCUCCUUUAUAGGCAAACGUCUUGACCCCCAUCUCCAGCAGAGUUCCCGCUCCCUCCUCUGAGCCCCACACUGCCUCUUUCUUUUCUCUGUUUCUUUGUCAGUUUCUCCCCCUGUCUGGAAGCCUGAGACGGUGUCUAACGCGUCUUUGUAGCCGAGGGCCCAGGACAAGGCCUGGCAGAAGGAGUCAUUUAUUAAUUUAAAAGAUAUU